UUAUUUUAAAGGCAAACCUGUUGAAAGGUAAGGGCGCAAAGCCAGAAGGGACUAAAGUCAGAAAGCUUGACCAUGUCAGCCGGUUGCCACU
rnacentral:ncRNA from 1 species